AGUGAACGCUGGCGGUAGGCCUAACACAUGCAAGUCGAACGGCAGCACAGUAAGAGCUUGCUCUUACGGGUGGCGAGUGGCAGACGGGUGAGGAAUACAUCGGAAUCUACUUUUUCGUGGGGGAUAACGUAGGGAAACUUACGCUAAUACCGCAUACGACCUACGGGUGAAAGCAGUGGAUCUUCGGACCUUGCGCGAUUGAAUGAGCCGAUGUCGGAUUAGCUAGUUGGCGGGGUAAAGGCCAACCAAGGCGACGAACCGUAGCUGGUCUGAGAGGAUGAUCAGCGACACUGGGACUGAGAGACGGGCCAGACUCCUACGGGAGGCAGCCGUAGGGAAUAUUGGACAAUGGGAGCAAGCCUGAUCCAGCCAUACCGCGUGGGUGAAGAAGGCCUUCGGGUUGUAAAGCCCUUUUGUUGGGAAAGAAAAGCAGCAGGUUCAGAAGCCGAUGUUCUGACGGUACCUAAAGAAUAAGCACCGGCUAACUUCGUG
rnacentral:rRNA from 1 species